CAGAGACAGAGAAAUGUCACAUUUUCUUAACUAGUUUACUUGAAUUGAUGCUUAUAAAAUCAAAAUGUAUAGGAAUAUGUGUUCAAAAUCUUCUACAGGAAUUGGAUGAUGGCAGAUUAGAGCCAGAACAUUUUUAUUAUAAUAUAGAAAAACUAUUGAAUUCUUUACCACAAUCAAAUCCUAUGACAUUCCUUAAAGUAUACACAUUCUCAUUAUUUUGAAUAUAACUGUUUAAUAUAAUGUUUUAAUAUUUGAAUUUAUACAGAAAAGUGUACCACUCAUGAG